rnacentral:rRNA from 1 species
AUGAGAAAGCACAAGAGAAGCCUUAUUCGAUCGCGUGAAGAUCGACAUUGCCGCAACGGCUUGGCGCAAAGCCCGAUGCGGCUGACAGGGUUUUCACCCUCUCGCACACCUCCCGUGCAUUGUUCCUUUCCCGUGCAUUGUUCCUUUCCCGUCAAUUUGGCUUGGUGUCCUUUCCUUGUUUGCGGGUUCUGUGCCAUUGACUUGAUUCGGCAUCACAUGUUCUCUCGCCGUGUGUCUGUGGCCUUGGCGGUAGGUAACGUCGUGCUCUCGUGUUGUGUCUCGUGGGUUAGCAAUUGCGGUGCCGACUGCUUGUGUGGCUAUAGCGGCACCCAGCAGGGAAACAUGAGAUGUUGUGGGAUUGAGGCAUCGCACAUAGCAACCCGAAGCCAAGCGAAGGAUGCAUGUCGGACUUGUAGGGAGCGGAUUGCACCUGAGGUAUGGUGGAAGGGAUGA